CCUACGGGGGACAGCAGUGAGGAAUAUUGGUCAAUGGACGCAAGUCUGAACCAGCCAAGCCGCGUGAAUGAUGACUGCUCUAUGAGUUGUAAACUUCUUUUAUAAAGGAAUAAAAGGAGGCACGUGUGCCUUUCUGCAUGUACUUUAUGAAUAAGGAUCGGCUAACUCCGUGCCAGCAGCCGCGGUAAUACGGAGGAUCCGAGCGUUAUCCGGAUUUAUUGGGUUUAAAGGGAGCGUAGAUGGGUUGUUAAGUCAGUUGUGAAAGUUUGCGGCUCAACCGUAAAAUUGCAAUUGAUACUGGCAGUCUUGAGUACAGUUGAGGUAGGCGGAAUUCGUGGUGUAGCGGUGAAAUGCUUAGAUAUCACGAAGAACCCCGAUUGCGAAGGCAGCUUACUAAGCUGUGACUGACAUUGAGGCUCGAAAGUGUGGGGAGCAAACAGGAUUAGAUACCCGUGUAGUC
rnacentral:rRNA from 1 species